CGAUCCCGGUCCGGAAUGAAUGUUUCUGAAUUGUGUGCGCGCCCCGGCCGCGGUCACUGCUCAGGUCACGCCCCGAGCGAGCGAGCGAGGCCUUUUUUUCCUCCUCUCUCUCCGCCUUUCUCGCCCGGCUGCAGUAUGCUGCAAGAUCCACAGCCCGCCGGCACCGAUCUGCUUGCUCUCUCUCGGCCCUUGUCGCCCGGCUGCAAUGCCCGCUGUGCAGCACGGCACGGCAGCACCGGGCCUGGCUUUCUUUCGCCGGCUGAAUUUCCUGGCUGCCGCGCCCAGCACGAAGCUCGGGACCGCGGCACUGGGCCCGUUUUGUGACGUGCCGGAAUCCUCGGGCCGCGAAGCCCCGAUCGGAACUCGCCAGCGGCCCCGCCCCUUUCCCUUCUUCUCCGCUCUUCUCUCCUGCCUGCAAGGCGGAGCGCGAGCCACAGGAGGGCAGCACUGAGGGCAUUCCUUUAAUAGACGGGACCACAGGAGGGCAGCACCGAGCAGCAAGUUGGUUUCCCCUCCGCGGCGCCGCUCCUCGUUGCUGCAGUGCUCGGAGCGCACCACGGGAGGGCAGCACUGAGCCGGAUUUUCUUCAUACUCCGUCUGGCUGCCCAUGACGUCAGCUGUCUGUCUGUUGGCGGAGCCCACGGCGCAUUGCUGGCGCGGACCGGCGGGCGGGCGGGCGGACCUGGAGCGGGGCGGCAGCUGUUGUGGCGACCAGGGCGGGGCGUGCGGGAGACUGCGCUGCCCAGGGCGCGGGGCCUGCGGGGUUCUCUGCUGCGGUUGGCAGCAGCCACAGUCAGUCCCGGUUUUCUCUUGUAGAGAGGAGAACAGUAACCCGCUGUUGUUCAGAAACGCUGCACGGAAGCCUGCAAGCCCUGGAGGCGAGACUGGGCUCCGUGCUGCCAGACAGUAUCGCGGCGGGACCAGGGCGCCGGAGCGCCCCCGCUCUUCCCCGUGCGCAGUACAGCGGCUUAUCGUAGCAUCUCAACAAGGUGACACUGUGCUAUGACCCUGCCCUAGGCUCUGGCCCCAACAAUAAGAGUUGACUAGUGAUGUUGGGUGUCUAAGCACGGGCUUUGGAAGAGCCCCGAUUUUCAGAAAAUGUGGAAACCCCUUCACCUGUGAGACGACUGUCACAGCUCUUCAAGGUGCUUUGUGGCAGGCACUCAAAACCAGUGGCCGGUGGGGAAAGCUCUGCCCCUGCCUCCCGUGCAAAGAUGAAGACGUGAACUUCACUAUGAGAGCACAAGCGACAGCCAGGCUAGCGCAGGGAGCAGAGGGGGAUGUGAACCACGGCUCCUCAGAGCUGCAAUGAACGGGGACACAGCAAAAGCACCGGUCGCCGCCGGGGCAGCAGCUGGCACUGGGGCCGUGCCACUCGGAGCUGCAUUUGUGGGCACGAGGAGGAGAGGCAUGUGUGACUGGGCUUGGGCUCAAGAUGGCUCAACAGCUAACUUGGUGUGAACUAGCUGAAAGCAAGAGUACAUGUAUAUCUUAUAUGCUACCUUAAUCAGAAGCCUCAACUUAGUCAAAUGCAUUCUUGCUUCAAAGGUUAAUAAAUAUUCCUUCCUUCCUUCCAGCCAAAUGCCCUGGAAAUGCAUUACGUGUUUUCCCCAAUAUUUAAACUAAGUAAUAUGUUUGAAAAUAUAAUUUCUUUUUAGAAAUAAAAACAUAUUAAAACCAA